rnacentral:rRNA from 1 species
GAUCCUGGCUCAGGACGAACGCUGGCGGCGUGCCUAACACAUGCAAGUCGAACGAGAAUCAAUGGACGGAGUUUUCGGACAACUGAAGUUGAGGAAAGUGGCGGACGGGUGAGUAACGCGUGAGCAACCUGCCUUGGAGUGGGGGGACAACAGAGGGAAACUUCUGCUAAUACCGCAUAAAGUGCCGUGAGGGCAUCCUCGUGGCACCAAAGAUUUAUCGCUCUGAGAUGGGCUCGCGU